UACAGAGGGGGCAAGCGUUGUUCGGAAUUACUGGGCGUAAAGGGCGUGCAGGCGGUGGUGCGCGUUUUGUGUGACAGCGCAAGGCUUAACUUUGCGAGGAUACGAAAGACGGCAGCACUUGAGAGCGCGAGAGGGACACGGAAUUCCGGGUGGAGUGGUGAAAUGCGUAGAGAUCCGGAGGAACACCGAAGGCGAAGGCAGUGUCCUGGCGCGCAUCUGACGCUGAGGCGCGAAAGCCAGGGGAGCGAACGGG
rnacentral:rRNA from 1 species